UUAAAAACAAACAAAAAGACUAGUAAAAUGAUUUGUUCUGACAGUGAAUUGAGGAUAGUGAGAACUCAAUAACAGAAAACGAUCAUUUGAAUAACACUUUUUGAAGUUUCUUGGCCGAACGUUAAUUAUUAGUAAGCUAAGACGCCAUCGCAGCGUUACUAACGACAGUGUAUGUUUGUACGCUGAGGAGGUGGUUUAUCAUUUUUGAUAAGCAACUAGGGUGGUACCGCGAAGUCUUUCGUCCCUGAU
rnacentral:ncRNA from 1 species